rnacentral:lncRNA from 1 species
GGGCCCCUCAGUAACAACAGUUUCUCUUUGGGAACUGUCUCCUGGACAUUCAAUGUGAUGUUUUUUCUCCCUCUCAGGAAUCUGGCCAAACUCCGGGGCCACCUAUCAUAAGCAGCCUUGUUUGCUUGCAAUUUGCAGAGUUGCAAGGGGUAAAGGACUGGCUUUGACUAUUCAGUCUUUCAGGGGAAAACUUGAUCCAGUCGGCUAUAUUCUUGGACUGGCAAAACUGUAAUGUUGAGUGCUUCUACCAACUGAUAAUCUAUGGGGAAUCAAGACAGAGAUGCUCUGGGAUGACUAUGCACACUGAAGGAGGAGUGGAAUUUCAUUUACAAGACAUUUUGAUGAAGUCUCAGUAGGGAAGAA